GUGGAAGCAAUCAAUAGAAUUUAGACUCAAUUACUUUUCAAAAAAAAAUUAGUGAUGAUCUUGAAUUUAAAUAUAAUCUACAACAAAAUCUUUUGUUUAUUCAAUGCUUAUUCUCCAGUUUCCCUUGUUUUUCUCCUUUCACCUCCCUAGAAUUCUGAUAUUCCAUGUAGUUCUCGCACGUUGUUCGGGACGGAGGGGGGUAAUGCAUCUCCUGUUUCUGUAAGAGCUGCAUCUUUCCAGAAUUGUACUGGAUAUCACUCACUAUAUCUUUAUCUGAUGGUGGAAAGUGGAUGCUCGAAUCAGAUUUGUUAAAGUUAACUGUGAAGUACCGAUUGUCUUCAUGGAUGAGAAGGUAGACACCUUUGCAACGACAGUCAUCGAAAUAGCUAUACAGCAUACGCCGUAGUGUGCCUUUCCGUCGGUAACGCAUCUGCACGAGGCUACGGCGCUCGGUCCAUGGCUUCUUGACACGCUUUGAGUUUGAUGCCUUCAUAAUGUAGCAAUUAAUUCCAAUUAAGAUGAAGGAUCUGAGACUUGAUAAUUAUCACUUGGCAUUAUGAGAAGAGAUUUCAAUUUAUAGCUACGAGCGAGUGUAAUACAGUGGCCUCCAUUGAGUGCUAAUGUCGCUUUUUAAAGGUGUACUUCUGUUGAAUGUAGUUGUUUUGCCGCGGUGCUUGCAUGCUUGGACCUAUGAUCUGCGAUCCGAAACCGUGGCCCAUGCCAUUUGACUCGCGAUUUAACUCGGCCAUGAUUUACAAUCCGAAACCGUGCGCCUGUCACGGUUGGGAAAAAUUAAAGCAAUUGCAGAAGUUAUACCAGCGACUUGUCAGAAGAUAGUAUG
rnacentral:sRNA from 2 species